rnacentral:lncRNA from 1 species
AAAUAUGAUUAUAACACUGUUUGAAAAAGUAUAUAAAAAUCAAGUAACUUCUAAAAGCUUGUUCAUGCAUUCCAAAUUGCUUUAUUUUUUGAUUAAAGUAGGCAGUAUAGCUGGAGAUCUAUUUGAGAUCUGAGUCAACACUCUGUGUGCCUGUAUGUGUUCCACUUAUAUAUUCUUCUUUGGUGUCUUUGCCAGGAUCUUACUCAAUUUCAUUUUUCUUCUUUAACCUAUCAUAUGUGGAAAAUAAGAGAUUAUAUAUUACCUUAUUUCAAAGAAGUUAUGAGAAUUAAAUAAAUUAAUCCAUAAAAGCACUUGGAGACUUGCUGUUCUGGAACAAGGUGCUACAGGCUCACGUAUCCCCCAUCUUUCCUCUAAGUACAACUAAUGCCUUGGAAAGGACUCAAGAGACAAUGAUAAAAGGACUAGAGAACUAGGAAAAAAAAUUGUAGACUAACAAGGGAGGUCAGGACCUGAGGAUUGACAACACUGUGAGUUUCCUAUCUCCUUUUGUCUCACAUAGUGCCAAGAAAGGACAAAUCCAAGAAAGACUUAAUGGGAAGCCCUGCUCCAUAUCUAGGGUACCAGCUGGCUGAAAUCUACCUGAAGCCACAGCUUCAGAGACCCCAAAGGCCAACCCAGCCCUGCUGUACUAUCGAAGGCACACUAGCAGAAUUAAGUUCCAGCUGUUUUGAAAAAGCAACCAGAAGACUGCGAGAAACUGCCAAGUAUCCUGGAGAGAAACUGGGAAUGAAGAGCCGCAUUAGCUUCUGUUAUUCUAAAGUCAUUGCAUUACCAGCGGUAACCAUAAAUCCUGUAAGUGGAAAGAAAGACCACAGGUUCAGAACUUUGCCUGCUUUUCACAGGGAAAAGUAGCAUACCUUUCUGGGUCUGAGAUAAUAUUCACGAUUCAUUAUGUUUUCC